rnacentral:rRNA from 1 species
ACAGGAUUAGAUACCCUGGUAGUCCACGCCGUAAACGAUGUCGACUUGGAGGCUGUUCCCUUGAGGAGUGGCUUCCGGAGCUAACGCGUUAAGUCGACCGCCUGGGGAGUACGGCCGCAAGGUUAAAACUCAAAUGAAUUGACGGGGCCCCGCACAAGCGGUGGAGCAUGUGGUUUAAUUCGAUGCAACGCGAAGAACCUUACCUGCCCUUGACAUCCACGGAACUUUGCAGAGAUGCCUUGGUGCCUUCGGGAACUGUGAGACAGGUGCUGCAUGGCUGUCGUCAGCUCGUGUUGUGAAAUGUUGGGUUAAGUCCCGCAACGAGCGCAACCCUUAUCCUUUGUUGCCAGCGAUUCGGUCGGGAACUCAAAGGAGACUGCCGGUGAUAAACCGGAGGAAGGUGGGGAUGACGUCAAGUCAUCAUGGCCCUUACGGCCAGGGCUACACACGUGCUACAAUGGCGCAUACAAAGAGAAGCGACCUCGCGAGAGCAAGCGGACCUCAUAAAGUGCGUCGUAGUCCGGAUCGGAGUCUGCAACUCGACUCCGUGAAGUCGGAAUCGCUAGUAAUCGUGGAUCAGAACGCCACGGUGAAUACGUUCCCGGGCCUUGUACACACCGCCCGUCACACCAUGGGAGUGGGUUGCAAAAGAAGUAGGUAGCUUAACCUUCGGGAGGGCGCUUACCACUUUGUGAUUCAUGACUGGGGUGAAGUCGUAACAAG